CCCCAAAUCUCCAGGUGACACCUGGCUGUCCCCCCAAGCCCUUGGUGGUCCCUGAGGGGGACCCAAACUGUUGGGGACACUUGUUCAGCAGGUGACAGGAGUCACGGGGGGGGGGUGGGCUUUGGAUUCAUCCCCCAGGUGGGGUCACCUGCCCCAAAGAGCUGCCAGGAUCGGGGGGAACACCCCAAAGUCCUGGGGCAGCUUCUGCUCCUCCCGAGGUUGGAAAAGGUGGGAAAAGGUGGGAAAAGGUGGGAAAGCUUCUGCUCCUCCUGUCCCAGGUAGGACCAUCCCCUCCCCAGCCCCCAGUCCUGUCAGACAGGGAAGGGAAAAGGGAAAAGGGGGAAUGGAAGGGGGAAAGGAAGGGAAUCCCACGGAUUUUGGGGGUCCCAGGUACUCACCCACUGCUCCUUCUGGGGUGAGGGACCCUCCCUCUGCACACGGGGCUGGAUGGGGCUCCUGACCCCUGGCCUGGGCUGGGGGCGCCUGGGGACUCCCAGGUUUCAGGGUUCCUGGGGUUUCAGGGUUCCUGGGGUUUUGGGGUUCCCGAGGUUUCAGGGCUCCCAGGGUUUCAGGGCUCCGGCUUUCUCCUGUCCUGGCUGCAGCUCUCAGGAAAUCUGGGUUCAGGCUCUCUGGGUUUUGAGGUCUCUGCGCUCCGACUUUCCAGGAUUUGGGGUCUCUGGGCUCUGGGUUUUAGGGUCUCUGGGCUCCAGCUCUCUGGGUUUUGGGGUCUCCAGGCCCUGGCUCUCUGUUUUUGAGGUCUCUGGCUCUCUGGCUCUUAGGGUCUCUGGGCUCUGACUCUGCAGGUUUUGGGGUGUCCAAGCUCCGGCUUUUGGGGUCUUUGUGCUCCAGUUGUGUAGGAUUUGGGGUCUCUAGGUUCCGUCUCUCUGGGUUUUGGGGUCUGUGGGCUCCGUUUUUUGGGGUCUCUGGGCUCUGACUCUGCAGGUUUUGGGGUCUCCGGGUUUUGGGGUGUCUGUUUUCUGGCUCUUCAGGAUCUGGGGUCUCUGGGCUCCAGCUCUCCUGCUUUUGGGGUGCCUGGGCUCCGGCUCUGCAGGGUUUUCAGGCUCUCUGUGCUCCGGCUCUGCAGGUUUUGGGGUCUCUGGGCCCUGGCUCUCUGGUUUUGGGGUGUCUGUUCUCCGGCUCCUCAGGAUUUGUCGUCUCUGGUUCUCCUGUUUUUGGGGUCUCUGGGCUCCAGCUCUCUGGUUUUCAGGUCUCUGGGCACUGGUUCUGCAGGAUUUGGGGUCUCUGUUCUCCGACUCUGCAGGAGUUGGGGUCUCUGGCUUUGGCUCUGCAGGAUUUGGAGUCUCUGGGCUCCAGCUCUCUGGGUUUUGGGGUGUCUGGGUUCCGUUUUUUGUGGUCUCUGGGCUCCGGUUUUGGGGGUCUCUGGCUCUGUCUCUCUGGGGUUCUGCCCCUCCUGGUUUUGGGGCUCCAGCUCCUGGGGCUCCUCCGAGUUUUGGGGUGCCUGGCUUUGGCCUGGAGGGACACAAAACAUUGGAGAUGUUCCCGUGCUGAGCUUUGGCUGCUCCCAUGCUCCCCAAAAACCUGGGAGCCCCAGGAUCCCCCCAAAAGAUCCCCCCAAAAGAUGGAGGAGUUUGGGCAAAGGUGACUCAUUCAGGAGAAACAGAAAAGUUUCAAGGAGAAAUCCUUGGAUUUCUCUCUGCUGCUGCUGCUGGGAGGAGACACAAAUAACCCGGGAGAGAAGACUAAUUAACGAGCCAAUUAAUCAGACAUUUGUGAUUCCAGGCUGGAUGCAGGUGGGCAUCCAGCUCCAGAUCCUUUCCCCAUCACACAUCCCGAUUUUCACACUUUUUGGGGCAUUUUUUGGCAUUUCAUGUGACAAAUCAUUUAUGCAGAUGGUGGUGAGGGCAGGCAGGGAGGAGCAGGCACGGAGCAACAGAUGGAGGGAAGGCAUAAAAUGCAUAAAAUAUUAACAAAAAUAUUAAAAAAUAAAGAAAGAGGGGGGGAAAAGGUGAGAGAAGGA
ensembl:lncRNA